CUGAGUGACUUGGCAUAACUAGGUGUAAUUAACUUAUCUGCUACUUUAUCUGUGUCUUUGUAACUGAGUGACUUGGCAUAACUAGGUGUAAUUAACUUAUCUGCUACUUUAUGUGUGUCUUUGUAACUGAGUGACUUGACAUAACUAGCUGUAAUUAACUUAUCUGCUAAUUUAUGUGUGUCUUUGUAACUGAGUGACUUGGCAUAACUAGGUGUAAUUAACUUAUCUGCUACUUUAUCUGUGUCUUUGUAACUGAGUGACUUGGCAUAACUAGGUGUAAUUAACUUAUAUGCUACUUUUUGUGUGUCAUUGUAACAGAGUGACUUGGUAUAACUAGGUGUAAUUAA